rnacentral:lncRNA from 1 species
UGCUUUUUACAGUUAUUUGCAUUAGCAUCAUAGCUGUGUUCACUCUUCCAGAACAGUCUGCAAAGGGACUGAGUCAGUGACAUCAUUGUCUUAUUAUGGGCACGGAUUCUGGGCUGACGUUCGUCAUCCUGUCAACAGCAAGUGUGACCAUUUGCAGGGCAAGGACAUGUCAGGACACCUGGGACACAUUUGUAUAUACAGCCUUUUCCUGCUGUCUGUCUGCUGGCCACUUAAACUUAAUCCCUCCCAUGUGCCACUUAAAGUCCACAGUGACUUUAAGGCAUCUGCUGUAUUCUGUCUGCUGGACACCACCAACCCUGAGCCAAGGGAUCACCUGAGAAGAAUGAGAUCUUUGAGAUCUAACACAUGAAAAUUCCACGUGACAAAGAAUUCAAGGAACUCAAAUUGCAUUUAAUGACAUUGCAUUGCUUCAUCUUAGACUUCAACAUCAGACAGAGGAAAAUCAGAAAAUAGAAAUUAAAAAAUAGACUGAGUCUAUAUGUUGAAUGAAGAUGUUUAUCUUCAUUCAAUUACAGCAAUUACACUAAGGAAACCUGGCAGUGAAGAGAAUUACUCAUUCUUUUCCUGGGGAAGAGAUUUACAGGCUUCCUUCCAGAGGAGGGUGACGAAGAUGGUGAAGGGCCUAGAGGGGAAGACAUAUGAGGAGCGGCUGAGGUCACUGGGCCUGUUCAGCCUGGAGAAGAGGAGGCUGAGGGGAGGUCUCAUCGCAGUCUACAACUUCCUCGCGAGGGGGAGUGGAGGGGCAGGGGACCUAUUCUCCGUAAACACCAGUGACAGGACCCGCGGGAAUGGUGUUAAGCUGAGGCAGGGGAAGUUUAGGCUGGACAUCAGGAAGAGGUUCUUCACUGAGAGGUUGGUUGCACACUGGAACAGGCUCCCCAGUGAAGUAGUCACUGCACCAAGCCUGUCUGAAUUUAAGAAGUGAUUGGACUGUGCACUUAGUCACAUGGUCUAAACUUUUGGGUAGACCUGUGCAGUGCCAGGAGUUGGACUCGAUGAUCCUUAUGGGUCCCUUCCAACUCGGGAUAUUCUAUGAUUCUAUGAUUCUUGUCACUAUGCUUCUGUGAUAAAUCUCAGGACAAUAUAACUCUACUGUUUACCUGCUUAGACAGUGACACCCACUAGACAAAUGAUGUACAGCACCUGAAAAUAUAUAAAAAAAAAAAAAAAGAUAAAAGAAACAAGAAACAACUUAAAAUAAGAGG